GACGGAGCGACGCCGCGUGCGGGAUGAAGGCCCUUGGGUUGUAAACCGCUGUCAGAGGGGAUGAAAUCAUGGUUGGCUAUCCUUCCAUGUUGACAGAGCCUCAGAGGAAGCACGGGCUAAGUACGUGCCAGCAGCCGCGGUAACACGUACUGUGCGAACGUUAUUCGGAAUCACUGGGCUUAAAGGGUACGUAGGCGGUUAAUCAAGUCAGGUGUGAAAUGCCUGAGCUCAACUGAGGCACUGCGCUUGAAACUGAUUAGCUAGAGUAUUCCAGGGGUGUGCGGAACUGCCAGUGGAGCGGUGAAAUGCGUUGAUAUUGGCAGGAACACCGGAGGCGAAGGCGGCACACUGGGGAUAACUGACGCUGAGGUACGAAAGCCAGGGUAGCGAACGGGAUUAGAUACCCCGGUAGUCCUGGCUGUAAACGAUGAGCACUGGGCGAGAGGCGAUCCGUCGCUUUUUGCCGUAGCGAAAGCAUUAAGUGCUCCGCCUGGGCAGUA
rnacentral:rRNA from 1 species